GUUUUGCUUUUGCGAGAGGCAUGAUCGUGCCUUGGAAACGGGAAAAAUGUGUUUUCUGUUUUUUUGCGAGAGACACGGUUUUACAUGGUUAGUCAUAAAAUCCUACAUAAAACUUGUAGAUCACUGAGUAUCAUAUGUUCGAUUCCCUGCAAUAGUUUUGCGACAUUAAGAUAGUAAUAUGUGGUAACUAGUUCAUGAUUGUUGAUUAGUAAGAAUAUUGAU
rnacentral:lncRNA from 1 species